rnacentral:lncRNA from 1 species
AAAAAAAGCACUUAGUUCAUUCUGCUUGUACUCAAAAGAAGGCUUUCAAAGGAAGGAAGAUCUUCACGAAGCUUUAAAUAAAGUGUUCUCCAGAAGGAAUGAUGGUCAUCACGGUGAUGGUGAUGAUGGGAGAUGGUGGUAGUG